AUUGAACGCUGGCGGCAGGCCUAACACAUGCAAGUCGAACGAGUGGCGGACGGGUGAGUAAUGUCUGGGAAACUGCCUGAUGGAGGGGGAUAACUACUGGAAACGGUAGCUAAUACCGCAUACCAUCAGAUGUGCCCAGCUGGGAUUGCCUUGUUGGUGGGGUAACGGCUCACAAAGGCGACGAUCCCUAGCUGGUCUGAGUGGAUGACCAGCCCCACUGGAACUGAGAAACGGUCCAGACUCCAACGGGAGGCAGCUGUGUGGAAUAUUGCAAAAUGGGCUCAAGCCUGAUGCAGCCAUGCCGCGUGUAUUAAGAAGGCCUUCGGGUUGUAAAGUACUUUCAGCGGGGAGGCGUUACCCGCAGAAGAAGCACCGGCUAACUCCGUGCCAGCAGCCGCGGUAAUUC
rnacentral:rRNA from 1 species